rnacentral:rRNA from 1 species
UACGGAGGGUGCAAGCGUUAUCCGGAUUCACUGGGUUUAAAGGGUGCGUAGGUGGGCUAGUAAGUCAGUGGUGACAUCUCCGGGCUUAACCCGGAAACUGCCAUUGAUACUAUUAGUCUUGAAUACCAUGGAGGUGAGCGGAAUAUGUCAUGUAGCGGUGAAAUGCUUAGAUAUGACAUAGAACACCAAUUGCGAAGGCAGCUCGCUACGCGGUUAUUGACACUGAGGCACGAAAGCGUGGGGAUCAAACAGG